AUUAUUGAUCAGUGUUUUGGCUAAGAUCAAGUGUAGUAUCUGUUCAUAUCAAUUUAAUAUUUGAUAUAUCCUCUAUCUGAAGAAAAUAUAUUAAUGGAUUUUUGGAACAGGAAGAGGGAAUGGGAGCCUGCUCUGUCCACUCCAUGCAGUGACCUUGUAUUUCAGUACUUUCAGGAAUGCUGUAACAUCU
rnacentral:snRNA from 1 species